AGAGAGAGAGAGAAACUCAAGAAGAAGAAAAUGUGACAAAAUACGAAGUAUAUAUCUAGAUCAAUAAAGCGUUUUCUCUUCUUCCUACUUU
rnacentral:ribozyme from 12 species